GCCUCCGUAGCUCAGGGGUAGAGCGCAUUCUUGGUAAGAAUGAGGUCACGAGUUCAAAUCUCGUCGGAGGCU
rnacentral:tRNA from 1 species